AUGAACUGCGAUGACCUGCUGCUGCCUGAAAUUUUGCAGGGUUUUGGGGGAUCGACUGCAAGCUUCCCCACAACCUACCUGGGGUUACCUCUCUCCCCCAAGAGGCUGCGCUUAGUGCACUUCCAGUUCCUAAUCGACCGUAUCAAGUCGCGUCUCGCGGGAUGGAAGGGCAAGUUGAUGUCGCUGGCAGGUCGACGUGUCCUGGUGCAGGCGGUGCUCUCUGUGCUGCCAACUUUCGCCAUGACUGUGCUCAAGGUGCCCAAGAAGAUACUCAAGGAGAUUGACAAGGCGCGCCGUCGGUUUCUAUGGGCGCAAGACGAGGCUCUGACGGGAGGAAAGUGCAAGGUGGCAUGGAAAUUGGUGUGCACCCCAACAGAAAAGGGUGGCUUAGGGCUGCUAGACUUGCUCCAGUUUGGCACGGCCCUCAGGCUGCGUUGGCUCUGGGCGUCCUGCCAGCACCCGAUGAGGCCCUGGACGGCUUUCCCCCUGCCUUGCAAUGACGCAGACCGAAAGAUGUUCACUGCCGCAACAAAGAUCAUCGUCGGCGACGGCCAAAGGGCCGGGUUCUGGACAUGCCCCUAG
rnacentral:rRNA from 1 species